AAGUCGUAACAAGGUUUCCGUAGGUGAACCUGCGGAAGGAUCAUUAACACGUUAUCCACGUUCUUAUCCACGUAACUGCGAACUGUGCUCCCUGUUGACAUACCUCCUAGCUGCGGCUUCUCGAUUGUAGUGGGUCUCUUCGGAGGCAGGUCGAGAGGUCGCUAUCACUCCUUCGAGAGUGGGGCUAAGUCAUCCGUCAGCAGGCUUAUUCACUCUCUCUUUCACCCAACCACUUUGGGAGCAAGAGAGGGGUCCAACACCAAUUUCACCCUAUUUUACCAAUUUUGGCUAAUUCUACGUUUGUCAGGAGAAAUCCUGUUCGAACUACUAAGAUUUAUCUUAACUAAGCACAACUCUUAGCAAUGGAUAUCUUGGUUCUC
rnacentral:misc_RNA from 1 species